AGCUUAAUAGUUUAAUUUAAAAUAUUAAUUUUGUAAAUUAAAGUUAUAUUAUAAAUAUUUAAGCUU
rnacentral:tRNA from 1 species